rnacentral:rRNA from 1 species
UACAGGGGGUGCAAACGUUGCUCGGAAUCAUUGGGCGUAAAGCGCACGUAGGCGGUUCGUUAUGUCGGAUGUGAAAGCCCUUGGCUUAACCGAGGAAGUGCAUCCGAAACUGGCGAGCUAGAGUACUAAAGAGGAUCGCGGAAUUCCCGGUGUAGAGGUGAAAUUCGUAGAUAUCGGGAGGAACACCAGUGGCGAAGGCGGCGAUCUGGGAAGAUACUGACGCUGAGGUGCGAAAGCGUGGGGGAGCAAACAGG